rnacentral:rRNA from 1 species
AACAGGAUUAGAUACCCUGGUAGUCCACGCCGUAAACGAUGUCGACUUGGAGGUUGUGCCCUUGAGGCGUGCUUCCGGAGCUAACGCGUUAAGUCGACCGCCUGGGGAGUACGGCCGCAAGGUUAAAACUCAAAUGAAUUGACGGGGGCCCGCACAAGCGGUGGAGCAUGUGGUUUAAUUCGAUGCAACGCGAAGAACCUUACCUACUCUUGACAUCCAGAGAACUUAGCAGAGAUGCUUUGGUGCCUUCGGGAACUCUGAGACAGGUGCUGCAUGGCUGUCGUCAGCUCGUGUUGUGAAAUGUUGGGUUAAGUCCCGCAACGAGCGCAACCCUUAUCCUUUGUUGCCAGCGGUUCGGCCGGGAACUCAAAGGAGACUGCCAGUGAUAAACUGGAGGAAGGUGGGGAUGACGUCAAGUCAUCAUGGCCCUUACGAGUAGGGCUACACACGUGCUACAAUGGCAUAUACAAAGAGAAGCGACCUCGCGAGAGCAAGCGGACCUCAUAAAGUAUGUCGUAGUCCGGAUUGGAGUCUGCAACUCGACUCCAUGAAGUCGGAAUCGCUAGUAAUCGUGGAUCAGAAUGCCACGGUGAAUACGUUCCCGGGCCUUGUACACACCGCCCGUCACACCAUGGGAGUGGGUUGCAAAAGAAGUAGGUAGCUUAACCUUCGGGAGGGCGCUUACCACUUUGUGAUUCAUGACUGGGGUGAAGUCGUAACAAGGUAACC